AUGACUAGUGCAAUGAAGACUUCAAUCACAAUUUUUUUCACCAUUUGUUUCAUCAUAUCUUUUGUUCACGGUCGUGCGAUAGCACCAGGUUAUGGAACCUUGUUUGACGCAGUGCAAUGUUUCGGAGGAUUUGAACCGUGUCAUGAUCAUGGGGACGUCGGUUGCACUGCUUUUUGUAAAAAAUACAAGUAUGAUUUUGGCGUAUGUACUAAAUAUAGCGGAUGUUGUUGUCAUGUGCAUAUUGAUAACUAAAUCUGUCCAAGAUGAAUUGAACUAAUCAAAAUGUAAUGGUAUUUCUUUGAACAAUAACAUGAAUAGUUUCAAAU